UACGGAGGAUGCAAGCGUUAUCCGGAAUGAUUGGGCGUAAAGCGUCCGCAGGUGGCUGUGUAAGUCUGCUGUUAAAGAGUCUAGCUCAACUAGAUACAAGCAGUGGAAACUACACGGCUAGAGUACGUUCGGGGCAGAGGGAAUUCCUGGUGUAGCGGUGAAAUGCGUAGAGAUCAGGAAGAACACCGGUGGCGAAGGCGCUCUGCUAGGCCGUAACUGACACUGAGGGACGAAAGCUAGGGGAGCGAAUGGGAUA
rnacentral:rRNA from 1 species